CUUUUUCGGGCAUUUUCGUGA
rnacentral:snRNA from 1 species